CACGGUGGGAUUCGAACCUAAGACCUUUGGAAUACUAGCCCAAUGCUCUUCCAACUGAGCUACGCGGUUAGCCCAACGCUCUUCCAACUUGGGCUAGUAUUCCAAAGGUCUUAGGUUCGAAUCCCACUUUG